CGUAAAUGUCAGUCUGCCGCCCUCUAUUUUAAUUGUUUUCUCUAAACCUGUAGCGUUUAUAGGACUGUUCUCGUUUUGUCUGUUCAAAGUUCGUAUUUUCGGCUGAAUUAACUAAACAAAUUUCAAGAUGCCUGAAAAAGGCGAUGAGCCGUUUUCAAACCCAUUGCCUCCGAUGAUGGAACGGAGGAUGUCUGAAGACACUGAACCAGGAGGAUCACAGAUGACGAAUGAUGAUUUCCGUCGUCUGCUUAUGACACCACGUGCCACACCAGGUGAAGCACCACCAUCGUCCUUGUCGUCGUCUUCUUCAUCAAAGUCAAGGGAACACA